UACAGAGGGUGCGAGCGUUGUCCGGAAUCACUGGGCGUAAAGGGCGCGUAGGUGGCGCUCCAAGUCCGUGGUGAAAGCUCGAUGCUUAACAUCGAGUCGGCCACGGAAACUGGAGGGCUGGAGCAUUGUAGGGGCAGAUGGAAUUCCGGGUGUAGCGGUGGAAUGCGUAGAGAUGUGGAGGAACACCGAUGGCGAAGGCAGCCUUCUGGGCCAAUACUGACGCUCAUGCACGAAAGCGUGGGGAGCAAACAGG
rnacentral:rRNA from 1 species